rnacentral:rRNA from 1 species
CCUACGGGACGCAGCAGUGAGGAAUAUUGGUCAAUGGACGCAAGUCUGAACCAGCCAUGCCGCGUGCAGGAAGACGGCUCUAUGAGUUGUAACCUGCUUUUGUACGAGGGUAAACGCAGAUACGCGUAUCUGUCUGAAAGUAUCGUACGAAUAAGGAUCGGCUAAUUCCGUGCCAGCAGCCGCGGUAAUACGGAGGAUUCAAGCGUUAUCCGGAUUUAUUGGGUUUAAAGGGUGCGUAGGCGGUCGGAUAAGUUAGAGGUGAAAUCCCGAGGCUCAACUUCGGAAUUGCCUCUGAUACUGUUCGGCUAGAGAGUAGUUGCGGUAGGCGGAAUGUAUGGUGUAGCGGUGAAAUGCUUAGAGAUCAUACAGAACACCGAUUGCGAAGGCAGCUUACCAAGCUACUUCUGACGUUGAGGCACGAAAGCGUGGGGAGCAAACAGGAUUAGAUACCCUAGUAGUC